rnacentral:rRNA from 1 species
GGUGUUGCGUUCGUGACUGCAUCUCUGCCCUCCUUGANUCGGAUCCAGUUUGGCAUUUAGUUGUCGGGCUGGGGACGAUCAUCGUUUACUGUGAAGAAAUUAGAGUGUUCAAAGCAGGCUUAGGCCUUGAAUACAUUAGCAUGGAAUAAUGAAAUAGGGUUUUGGCACUAUUUUGUUGGUUUGCGCGCCGAAACAAUGAUUAAUAGGGACAGUUUGGUGAUAUUCGUAUUCAAUUGUCAGAGGUGAAAUUCUUGGAUUCCUGGAGGACGAACGACUGCGAAAGCAUUUAUCAAGGAUGUUUUCAUUAAUCAAGAACGAAAGUUAGGGGAUCGAAGAUGAUUAGAUACCAUCGUAGUCUUAACCAUAAACCAUGCCGACUAAGGGAUUUGCGGUUGUUCUUGUAAACUCCGUAAGCACCUUAUGGAGAAAUCAAAGUGUUUGGGUUCCGGGGGGAGUAUGGUCCCCAGGGCUUGAAACUUAAAGAA